UACGUAGGGGGCAAGCGUUGUCCGGAUUUAUUGGGCGUAAAGCGCGUGUAGGCGGCCAUGUAGGUCCGUUGUGAAAACUCGAGGCUCAACCUCGAGACGCCGAUGGAAACCAUGUGGCUAGAGUCCGGAAGAGGAGAGUGGAAUUCCUGGUGUAGCGGUGAAAUGCGCAGAUAUCAGGAAGAACACCCGUGGCUAAGGCGGCUCACUGGCCCGGUACUGACGCUGAGGUGCGAAAGCGUGGGGAGCAAACAGG
rnacentral:rRNA from 1 species